rnacentral:rRNA from 1 species
GAUGAACGCUAGCUACAGGCUUAACACAUGCAAGUCGAGGGGUAACGAGAGGAAAGCUUGCUUUCCUUGUCGACGACCGGCGCACGGGUGAGUAACGCGUAUCCAACCUGCCCCCAACUAGGGAAUAACCUUGCGAAAGUAAGACUAAUACCCUAUAAUUUCCUCAGAUGUCAUCUGACGAGGAAUAAAGAUUUAUCGGUUGUGGAUGGGGAUGCGUCUGAUUAGCUUGUUGGCGGGGUAACGGCCCACCAAGGCAACGAUCAGUAGGGGUUCUGAGAGGGAGGUCCCCCACAUUGGAAAUGAGACACGGUCCAAACGCCUACGGGAGGCAGCAGUGAGGAAUAUUGGUCAAUGGGCGGAAGCCUGAACCAGCCAAGUAGCGUGCAGGAUGACGGCCCUAUGGGUUGUAAACUGCUUUUAUACAGGAAUAAAGUUAGCCACGUGUGGUUAUUUGUAGGUACUGUAUGAAUAAGGACCGGCUAAUUCCGUGCCAGCCGCCGCCGUAA